rnacentral:snoRNA from 1 species
CUUCGAUGAUGAUUGUAUCCAAUUUCAGUUCUGCUACUGAACUAUUCUGUCGAAAACAUAUACCAACUUACCAAUUUUGUCUGAUCU